rnacentral:rRNA from 1 species
GAUGAACGCUGGCGGCGUGCUUAACACAUGCAAGUCGAACGGAAAGCCCCUUCGGGGGAAUUCGAGUGGCGAACGGGUGAGUAACACGUGGGGAAUCUGCCCUUCUCUCUGGGAUAACUCGGGGAAACUCGAGCUAAUACCGGAUAUUCCGAUCAGGUCGCAUGGCCAGCUCGGGAAAGCUCCGGCGGAGAAGGAUGACCCCGCGGCCCAUUAGCUUGUUGGUGAGGUAACGGCUCACCAAGGCGACGACAGGUAGCCGAGCUGAGAGGCUGAUCGGCCACACUGGGACUGAGACACGGCCCAGACUCCUACGGGAGGCAGCAGUGGGGAAUCUUGCGCAAUGGGCGAAAGCCUGACGCAGCAACGCCGCGUGCGGGAUGAAGGCUCUCGGGUCGUAAACCGCUUUCAGCAGGGAUGAAAUUGACAGUACCUGCAGAAGAAGCCCCGGCUAAAUACGUGCCAGCCGCCGCAGUAAUAC